rnacentral:rRNA from 1 species
GACGAACGCUGGCGGCGUGCUUAACACAUGCAAGUCGAACGGAAAGUCCCUGCUUUUGUGGGGUGCUCUAGUGGCGAACGGGUGAGUAACACGUGAGUAACCUGCCCUUGACUUUGGGAUAACUUCAGGAAACUGGGGCUAAUACCGGAUAGGAGCUCCUGCUGCAUGGUGUGGGUUGGAAAGUUUCGGCGGUUGGGGAUGGACUCGCGGCUUAUCAGCUUGUUGGUGGGGUAGUGGCGUACCAAGGCUUUGACGGGUAGCCGGCCUGAGAGGGUGACCGGCCACAUUGGGACUGAGAUACGGCCCAGACUCCUACGGGAGGCAGCAGUGGGGAAUAUUGCAAAAUGGGCGGAAGCCGGAUGCAGCAACGCCGCGUGCGGGAUGACGGCCUUCGGGUUGUAAACCGCUUUCGCCUGUGACGAAGCGUGAGUGACGGUAAUGGGUAAAGAAGCACCGGCUAACUACGUG